CCCCAUUCCCCUCCAGAGCCUGAGAACCACCCCCCGACUCCUCCACCCCCACACAUGUCCGCCCACUGGCAGACCAGCCCAGUCCACCUGGUGAUCCUCUGGACAAUUGCAGUUCUCCGGCCUUUACCUCCUGGCACUAGUUCCUGGCAGCAGUAGCUCCUCAAAGACAGCCAGCCAGUGGGUGAGCCCUCUCCCAGCUCCCAUUUUCUUGUGAGAACUGAGGCUGUUCCCUAGGACCCAGACUUCAAAGUGGAGGAAGGUGUGUGGGGGUGCUCUGGGUCAGUCACAGGGGACGGGCAGAAAGAGCUGCUGUCCCAGGGCGACCCUUGGAGGAGACUCGAGGAGGGCCUGGGGCCUCCCACUGGACUGUCUCCAUCCAGCCAGCUGGUGAGGGGCAGGAAGAGGAGACAGAUUGGGACUGUCUCCUGCUCUGGGUGGAGGCUCCUCCAGCAGGACGAGGGGCUGGGCUGGAUUCCUCUCGGGGGCCCCAGCCUCCGGCCUGCAGCACAGGGCUAUGCAGUCUGCAGCCUGAAUGAGAGGGAAGCAAGGAGAUGACGCCCUGAAGCUCUGAAAAGACAUUUUCCCAAGCAGCUGGCUCCUGGACAGCAUUCUAAGAAGUGUGGUCACGAAUAAUGCAUUGAUUGGCCCAUAUACUCAAAGAUGGAAGAGCUCUUCCUGGGAAGCCCAGCUGAAACAUCACAUCCAAAUUUGAUAACUGUAAUUCUACAAAUGCAACAAGUGUAACAAGUCCCAACUAGGAUAAAUACAAAGGAAACCACACCAAGACACAUGACAGUGAAUUUUCUGAAACUAGAAUUAGAGAGAAAAUCCCAAAAGCAGCCCGAGAAGAAUGAGACAUAUAGAGAGAAUGAUACAAAAAUGAUAGCAGUAUUCUUUGUGGAAACAAUGUAAGCCAGUAGUCACUAUUUAAAAUAGUGAAAGAAACUGUUAAUCUCGAAUUCUAUACUCUGCAAAAAUAUCUUUCAAAAAUGAAGGCAAAAUAAAGAAUUUUUAAGACACCAGCAUACUGUACUACAAGAAAUGUUAAAGAAAGUUCUUUUUUUUUUAAAAAAAAGAUUUUAUUUAUUUAU